rnacentral:rRNA from 1 species
AAACUUUCAACAACGGAUCUCCUUGGUUCCGGCAUCGAUGAAGAACGCAGCGAAAUGCGAUAAGUAAUGUGAAUUGCAAAAUUCAGUGAAUCAUCGAGUCUUUGAACGCACAUUGCGCCCCCUGGUAUUCCGGGGGGCAUGCCUGUCCGAGCGUCAUU